rfam:Bacillus cibi strain DSM 16189 Contig01, whole genome shotgun sequence.
GUGAAAUUAAUCACAAACAAACAUUUACCCCUUUGUUUGACCGUGAAAAAUUUCUCCCAUCCCCUUUGUUGUCGUUAAGACAUACAGAAGACUCCGUAUUACCCGUGCGGAGUCUUUUU